GAUCUCUUUUCUCUUCUGCAUUCGGUUUUAAUUCAUUUGCACAUUGCAUAUUCAGCACAUAUUCACUUCUGCUUUACACACUAUUGGUUAAAUUUGAAAAAUUUUUAAUAACCCAAUUCACCCCUCCUCUUGGGUUGUCUAGCUGGGUAAUAAAACAGCUUUCUUGACAUAAUCGGAUGCUGCGAUGUACUCCACCUCACAAAU
rnacentral:lncRNA from 1 species